rnacentral:rRNA from 1 species
ACUUUGGUGAGAGUGGCGCACGGGUGCGUAACACGUAUGCNACCUACCUUUAACNGGGAGAUAACCUCNAGAAAUUGUGGCUAAUAUCCCAUAANACUGUGAAAUGGCAUNNUUUUGCAGUUAAAANUCCGGUGGUUAUUGAUGGGCAUGCGCGACAUUAGCUAGUUGGUGAGGUAACGGCCCACCAAGGCUACGAUGUCUAGGGGUUCUGAGAGGAUUAUCCCCCACACUGGUACUGAGACACGGACCAGACUCCUACGGGAGGCAGCAGUAAGGAAUAUUGGUCAAUGGGCGCAAGCCUGAACCAGCCAUGCCGCGUGAAGGAUGACGGCCCUAUGGGUUGUAAACUUCUUUUGUACGGGAAAAAACCACCGGUACGUGUAUCGGUGCUGAUGGUACCGUAAGAAUAAGCAUCGGCUAACUCUGUGCCAGCAGCCGCGGUAAUACGGAGGAUGCAAGCGUUAUCCGGAUUCAUUGGGUUUAAAGGGUGCGUAGGCGGAGUGAUAAGUCAGUGGUGAAAGCCUACAGCUUAACUGUAGAACUGCCAUUGAUACUGUCAUUCUUGAGUAUGGUUGAGGUAGGCGGAAUGUGUCAUGUAGCGGUGAAAUGCUUAGAUAUGACACAGAACACCGAUCGCGAAGGCAGCUUACUGGGCCAUUACUGACGCUGAUGCACGAAAGCGUGGGGAUCGAACAGGAUUAGAUACCCUGGUAGUCCACGCCGUAAACGAUGAUCACUCGAUGUUGCGAUACACAGUUAGCGGCUAAGCAAAAGCAUUAAGUGAUCCACCUGGGGAGUACGGCCGCAAGGCUGAAACUCAAAGGAAUUGACGGGGGCCCGCACAAGCGGAGGAACAUGUGGUUUAAUUCGAUGAUACGCGAGGAACCUUACCUGGGCUUAAAUGUAGAGUGCAUGAAGUAGAAAUAUUUCUUUCCUUCGGGGACUCUUUGCAAGGUGCUGCAUGGUUGUCGUCAGCUCGUGCCGUGAGGUGUCGGGUUAAGUCCCAUAACGAGCGCAACCCUUAUCGUUAGUUGCCAGCGGGUAAUGCCGGGAACUCUAACGAAACUGCCGGUGUAAACCGUGAGGAAGGUGGGGAUGACGUCAAAUCAGCACGGCCCUUAUGUCCGGGCUACACACGUGUUACAAUGGCCGGUACAGAGGGCAGCUACCUGGAGACAGGAUGCGAAUCUCCAAAGCC